GUCAUUCGUUAUUUAUAGACACUUGCAAUUGUAGCUGAUGUUUUGAAUUGAUCUAUUAUGAAAAUCAUAGUUAAAAUUACACUAAUCGGUUGGAACUAAUGUGUGUUAUUUUAAAAUUAUAUGAAACCGGCGAACACACCCAGUGGUCGCAUUCUUCAUACAUUACAGAGAAUCAUUACCAUGUAUGAUAUCAACAAAUCCUAAGCUGCGACAAGGUAUUCGAAUUCCACGUAGUGCACUCGUAGUCUAGAAGUAAAAUGUUUGUCCACGAGUGUUUAAUUCUUCGAACUUUCCUGGACAAAACUAAGAAUUGUAGCUUAUGAAUCACUUAAGGGAUCCAUUCUUCAAUUUCUACGUAAGUCACCAAGUGUGAAUCCUCCAAAGAGUAGACAAAAUGGAGCGAAGCCCAGAAAAUACACAGCACGAGGUGGAACUUUCUGUUCAACUGCCAAAAUCUUUUGCGUUACAACUUUACAACCAACGCCGUUGGAUGAGGACAGGUUGAGCAGGACGGUUUGAUGUCAUUAAUGGACAUUUUUGCACUAAAUUCUUAAUGCCUCAAUUCUGACAAAUUUUUGAAUAUUUAGGCUUUCGUUCAAUAAAACCGGCAAUCCCUAGUUUUUGAA